AUCUUUGCUCUUAGGGAAAUGACACAACUUGUGAGGUUCUAACCGAGGUGUGUCUAUUGCUGGUUGAGAACUAAUUCUAAAAAGAAAAGAAUUAGCAAUUAUUGUUUCUUGAAUCUCGUCAAUAUUUGCCUAUAGAAUCAUUGUUUUUCAUCUAGGA